AUAAUAUAAUAUAAUAUAAUAUAUAAACAAAACAUUAUGUUGUUUUGUUAUGUUAAGUUUAUCUAUAAAAAAUAAUAAAUAAAUUAAUAAAGAAGAGAGAUUUUUUUAACAAAAACAUUAACGCCAUAACGUCGCUGUGACGUAGCUCAUGGGCUCCGCCCCUCCGGCCGGUGACCUGCUGAUGAUGAUGGCUUGUAUGAAACCUGAGGUGUGCUAAAGUCAAGAAUAUGGAUUAAAUUUAAUAUACUUUGUCUGCGGUUCUUGCCUCGACCUGAAGAAUUGAAAAAAUUGGCCAUUGUUAGAAACAUCUACAAUUUAACAGGGUAUCCCCAACGGCUCAUGUUUUUUAUUUGUGGACAUCUUUCAAAGAUUUUCUCCCCAGAAGUAUAGCUUGAGAGAUUCAUGGCCACUGAAUACGAAGGCUGACAGGCGAGGCGGAGAACAUUCAGUCUGUGGAUUCUCGCUUUUGUGGCGCUGGACUAACUUGCGGAAUCGCAUGGACGAUUAUGGUGAAAGAGAAGAAAGGAGAAGAUCAAAGCCGCUGUCAUGCAGGAAUCCAGUUGGCGUGGUUUAUUUUCAAUUUGCCUUUGUAGAAGGUGAAAUAAAGCUUUCUACAAUACAGUUUGGGUGCAGUGCUAUAUGUUUGAUGGCAUAUCAGAGCACAAUAGGCCAGUUUUUUUGGUUUUGUUAGUAUAAAAAUGAUAAUCAUCAGUGUGUGUACUAGUCAAGGGGCAACCUUUCAAUCUAUCUGAUGACUUAAACUGCAAUUCAUCGACAGGCCACUAGAGACAGACUGCAAAAAGAGUCAAUCCCCAUAGACAUCCAUGUAAAAAUGCCCAAUUUUACAGCAGAAAAUAGUAUGUUUACAG